rnacentral:ncRNA from 1 species
GAACUCUGGAGAAGCUCAGCAAUGAGUGCCGAAGGUGCAAGGCGAAAGCCGAAUCUCUCAGGCAAAAGGACAGAGACG